ensembl:snRNA U2 U2 spliceosomal RNA
AUUGCUUCUUGGCCUUUUAGCUAAGACCAAGUGUAGUAUCUGCUCUUAUCAGUUCUAAGAAAUAAAAAAAAAAUUGAUUCAUUCAUUAUCAAAAAGUGAUCUUUAAACCUGGAAACUAU